rnacentral:lncRNA from 1 species
AAGUUAUACUCCCUUCACCAGUUGGGCUUAACAAGGACAUAAUUAAUUCUCUGUUGGUAAUUAGAAGGAAAAAAAUCUGGUUGGAGAAAACUUCUCUUUUGCUUAAUUGUUUACUUCAUAAUUUUAGUAAAAAAAAUCAUUUUUUUCAGGUUAGUAGUAUGGGAGUACCUGUCAAGACUGACUUUUGGAAGUUAUGCUAGCCUCAUCAGUUGGGCUUUCUAUACAAAACUAGACUCAAUAUAAUUUAUUUUGGUGCUUGCGAUGAGUAUUAGACAGAGGGGUGAUGACCACAUAGUUCACCCAGUGUAUCUGUUCAUGUAUGUCAUUAAUUAUCUAAUUAGACAAAAAAAACUCUCUCUGUAUGGUGUUUGUGAUGAUGCUGUCAAUUUACUAAACACUAAAAUACCAGGUUGUUAUUUUCAAAUCUAGCAAAUUAAUUUUCUCUAUUGCUUCUUUUCCAGGCAGAAGUUUUAGUCUAUUAUGUUCCAUGAGUCUUACUGUCAAAAAAAAUAUAUGGUAGCAUCAGAAGUUGUCCCCAUCAGAUAAAACACUGCCUAAUAGAUUCAUUCUAUUACUGUAUAGCCAUGGUGACAAAAAUAUUCAGAUAACAAGAAACAAUUCUGUCAAAUAUUUUCAACGGAGAUACUAUUGCGGUCUAUAAGAAAAAAAUGUUAAUUAUUUAAUUAAACAGAAAACUAUGUUAUUUAUACCAACAGAUGCUAAACAAUCAGACUACCUGACACAAAAGUAUAUAUAUACAUUAGUUAAAUUUCAUUCCAAAAAUAGAUGAUGUAGUGGUAGAUGUUAAUCGUACAAAAACACGAGGAUGACAAACAUAAAUUAAUCACAUAUAUUAUCAUCACAGGUCGAUCUAACUGGUGGUAGUUAUUCUUUGCACUGAAAACAAAGUGGAAUCAAACGAUUCAAACAACCAAAAAGAAGGAAACAAAGGAUGCUUACGGAUCUGAAUGAGUUAGGGCGCUCCACUACUUGCAAGUAGAUCCAGCGACUCAAUGGCAGAGCUACUCUCGGCGAUGCCAUGAAGCCACCCUGGUUCUACCCGGAAGUCAUCACUGAAAUUACAACAAGAAAUAUGAAGUAAUUAGUAUUUUUUUUCCAUGGACAUAUGACCGCCGGCCAGUUGCCUUUGUGCUCAUGCCGGUGUUGUACCAAUGAAUUGACUCCAUCACUGUAGCGACCUGGAAGAACAUCAACUGUUUGUGGAGUUGGGAAUUUCUUCUCCGAGGAGAGAAAUGUUUAGUACGUCUCCAAAUCACUCCACUGUCCUGCCGGACAAAGAUGAGUUUAAUAUGGCCCGUCGACACAGAGAAGGCCUGCUGUCACAUACCGCUUAUUGGGCUGUAACAUUAGUCUCAUUCCAACACCACAUAUCCAACAAAGAAGCUUAUACCAAAGAGAAAGCUACAAAUUGGAUGAUUGAUCCCUAUGAAAUUGAUGUUACACAUAUUUUAUUUCAAAAAGGGGAUUACCCGGGCCUCUGCAUCAAAUGAUGCACACAUUCAUAUUAAAGGGCAGCCCCAGUGCAUGUAGCUCCCACUUGCGCAGGGUCUGAGGAAGGGUCCGACCACUUUGGGUCUAUUGUACGCAGCCUUUCCCUACAUUUCUGUAAGAGGCUGUUUCCAGGACUUGAACCCGUGACCUCAUGGUCACAAGGCAACAGCUUUACCACUGCGCCAAGGCUCCCCUUCAUGCACACAUUCAUAUUAUUAAACAUAAAUCAAGUUCCAAACACGGAGUUCCAGACUUAUUUCAUCAAGUAGUUUUCUUGUAUUUAAACUCAAUUCCUUCAAUUUCUCUGAGCCGUGAGCUUAUAUUAGCGGUGAGCUCAUCUACAUUCUGCGUUGUGAACUCAUUUAGUUUUAUCUAUGAACUCAUUAGGUGAACUCAUCACGGUUUUUUGGCAGAUGUGAACUUAUUUCAUAUUCAUCUAUGAAUCAUUGUUGAAGUGUCUGUAUAUCUCUCCCAUGCCAAUGUACAGAAAUUUGAGGUCUACAUACUUUUGCCACUUCUACCUACAAUUCCAUUGCUGUCUUUGUAUAAGCUAUAGCAAGUGCAACAAAACAGAUUGCAACAAGUAGCUUAUGAACUGAAAUUUGUGGUAUUAUUCAUUUGUUGUAUUGUCGCUCAGUUCAUCGUGGUUGUGAAGCUAAACGUGACAUGCUAUUCUUGACGUAAUUUCCAAAUUGCAAUCCAUAAUCAAGCAAAAGACUACAAUAAAUGUGACUUACAUGUUGCUUGCAUUCAACACCUUCAGGACCUGCACACGCAUCCAUCUCCUCCUCCGGCCGUUGCUGCCAUUAAGCCACUUGCUCAGGACCUGCACAAGGCAUCCACCUUCUCUUCAGCACCAGUCUCGCCACUAGAAUGCUUCUCCAGCAGGGGAGGGCGAUCUGCGCCGAUGCGCGCAGGGGAGGGCAAGCACCCGCGGAGAGCUGCGCUGUCACGCGCGUGCGUGGGGGAGAACCCGCGGCAAGCUGCGGUGGCUUGUGUAGGUAUCUGCAAGGCGAGGACGAGCUGCGCCGGCGCCUACAGACAUGGACAAGCACCGGCGACGAACCACAGUGGCUCGCGCAGGCAUCAGCAAGGCAUGGGCCAUCGGCGGGGGAGCUACGGUUGCUCGCACACGCGUGGGCAAGCUAUGGCCCAGAGAUGCGGUGGCUUCCGCAAGCAGCAGUGGGGUACGGCGACGAGCUAGCCCGAGAGCAAUCCUUAUCCAACCAGUCCACACACAACAGAUAAGGUUAGAUAGCAUCAGGGGCACUUUGGUCCUUUCAAGUGCUAGAAAAUGGAAAAGAAAAAGAAAUGGCAUGGUAAUGAAAGUGCACUGAACUGGGUGGCAUUUUUAUGAAGUAAGUACUAUUAAAAGCAGAAAAUAACCUAUUUUCUUCUAAAAAACAAUAUAACUCUUACUUUUUUGUCGGGUUGGCUCACGCCCAAACUGAGCCACAAGGCAGUCAACUCCUUCAGACUAACUAAUAUCAAUUAGUUGAUUCGGCAUUUUUUUGCACUGCCUAGCCUCGAUUUGUUUUUCAUAUGAAGUGACUCACAUGCUAAUUAAUUCUUCCUCCCACCUCGCUUAUGUUGAUUUUGAUUAAUUAAAACUUAUUCUGCCAGUCAACAAUGUAUAGAUAUGUUGACUUUUAUCUUUCUGUACUAUUUAUCUUUCGCUCGUCUACUGCACCGAAUUCAUUGUAGUGGUCAAGCAAAAAGAAAACUUCAGUUUAAACACUUUGUGUGAAAAUAAAUAAAGAUACAUGCGUCUAAGUUUACAACCUUAUUAAACAAACAAAGUAGCUCUCAUGUCCACUUUAUAUUCUGUCAGAGAAAUCAAGGCAAACAAGGAUUCUUAAAAUAAAAAAGGUAAUCUCUAAUUUCAAGAUAGUUUGCAAUCCAUCAAGAUCUGGGGCAUUCAUCAAUUCAAAACGGACUAAGUUUGAAUGAAAUGAAAGCAACUUCAACAUUGUGUACAUAGGGAACAAACCACCAAGAACCAAAGCAUAAGAACUAGCCUCAUCUCUUUACCACUACAUCACUGAGACAAACCCAGCUGGACGAUCAACAUCUUAUCUACAAAAGAACAAGAGCUUUAUAAUUCUGUGUCCAGUAGCCACUAUCACUAUCUACUGUAGAUCACGUAUGCACGUACCAACUAGAUGUAUUCUUUUCUUGUAUGAACUACUUUGCAAUGAAUCAAGUCUUGGGACGAGUUACCAAAUAUUACCAAAAAAACAAAUAGUUUGUAAAUUCAUGUGGCGCGGCGUGCCGCCGCGCACUACCUGCUAGUAAUGUUUACAUUGGUAACUAACGUUGCUCAUGCAUGGAUUGUAAAAUUCAUUCUGACAUUGCAGUUUUGUACAUUAGGUUUACAUUUUAACUUUUAACUGCCCGCUCACUCUGAUUUCCUUGCUCAUUUUGAUUUGUUAUAAAAACAGCUUUUAGGUUACCUUUAGAUUUCCAAAGUGCAGAUUUUUUUAUGCUGGGAGUUGUAGUGAGCUUCUUUCACAGGCUUGGUGCAAGUUUCAUAUUGGGUCUUUUAGCUUUUGUUUAUGAAUUGUAUUCCUGGGAAAUCAGCAUCUUAAUGUGUUUUUUUUCUCUUACACAUUUGCCUUGUGGUACUGGGUUGGGAGAUGGUCCUCAUUAUUCACAUUAAGUUCUUAACUGUGACCCUCGAUGUCACCUUUACUUUCUCUUAUCUUUACAAUUGAUAAGGACACAAUCUUGCUUCUAUUUUUGUAGUAUCUGAUCAUUUAGGAGAUCAAAGAAAUCCAGAUAGGAUAUUACUGGUGUCAAAUAUGCAUAUGAUUAUAUAUGUGACGUUCACUGUGCGAUUAUUGGUUAAUUAGGUACCUCGUACUCCUCACUGCAUGAAACCAAUUGAUGAUUUGGCUACUUCUUGUCUAGAAGAUAGCACAUCUUAUUCAGUUUCUUUUCAUAAUACGGUAAUUGUCAUUUUGUCUCAAUUGUUGCAAUCUUUUCGACAACUCUUGAAGAGAAAAAUCUUUUGCUGGUAUUCACUUAUAGGUUUGAAUUCUGAACAGUAAACAUCAUAGACAUGAGCUAUGAUUUUUUUAUACUGCUUGCUAAUCCUGCACUUUCAUCAAGUUAUAUUGGUUUGUUUCAAUGCAAAUUUGGUAGCUGAUACUUGUGUCAUUUCUAUGAUUCAGGCCGUUUGGUGAUUUGUAAGGAAUUGGCGCAUCUUUGUUUGAAGUCAGCUCUUCAUUUCUGGGUCACUACUUUCAUGCUACCACCUAACGUUGAGUUCAUGGGGAACCUCUGAUUACCUUGACCUUCCUGCCAGUAUUUAAGCAAUCUUUUGAUGCUAUGUUUAUCCAAACGUCAUUUGGACUUGAUGAUAUUUAGCAAGGUGUACUGUUAAAUUAUGCUUAUUUUGGACGAUGCAUUGCUUUGGUCGUAUUCUGUAAUAUUCAUCGCAUUUCGACUUCUGUAUUGUUCCUUCUUGCCUUGGUAUUUUGCAGAUUUGGCCAUUGUGGGUCGAUGAUUGUCAAAGCUUUUAUUUACGUAUCUAGCGAUAGUUGAAUCCUUUUUUUAAGGAGGAGUACCACCGUCCUGUGGAUUGUAUGAUGCACACAACCAUUUAUUAAAGCAAACCAAGUAUCUAAGUUCCAAGCAAUGACUUGGAAAAAGUAAAAAUAAAGAUUACAUGGUGAAUUGCCAUAACUCGCAAAAAUAGGACAACAUGCAUACACACAUAUUCGGAAAAAGUAGCGAUACUUGAAUCUUGAAUUUGGAUAGUACAAGGAUGUGUUUGGAUAGUUGGAUCUUGAAUUUAGAUAGUACGAGGAUGUGUUUGGUUGUUGGCAUUCUUCCCAUGCAGACCCUGACGAUGCCAAAAUAGACGUUUGGUUAGCUAGGAUGCACUGAAUUCAUGACUCGCACGGUUCUUAAAGCAUCUCUGGGCUGGGAGAGGAAUUCACAUGUUUCCAAGGGAUGCAUCGUUGCACGCGGUUACACGCGUUGGAAGAACGAGAGACGGGAUGCUUCGGUCAUAACUCCACUCACCAUUCAAACCCCUAUUAUUUCACCACCCCUUCUUUGCCAUUGAAGGCCGGCUUUGCUCGACCAUCUUACUACUUGAAUCCUUGUCCCCUACACUAGUGCUCACCUCUGGUGGCUCACCGGCAUUGAGGCAAGGAGCCUCAAAUCGGGGGAUAUGGAGAGGAGGCUCAAGUCUUCUUUUCCCAUCUUCACCAAGCCGCGCUCGGCAUGUAUUGAGCACCCAUCAAUGGCUGGUACCUUGAGGGCUGCCUGUGAGUGUGCGGGUGUGGGGGCGGGGACAUCAUUUGCGGUUGUAUAGAGUUCCAAUGAGGGUGCCAGGAAAUCCCUAGCUUUGGAGGCAGGGAUUCUGACACCCGCCACGGCUCCCGCAGCUGGAGUGUUGGGGUCUUCUUCUUCGGCUCUGGCAUCAACACCUCUAUCGCAUGCGGCCACUGUAAGUUUUUCUAUCUACAAGAAGUUACAUUAGUUCGUAAACUUUGAUUGGAGGAUAGAAGAGGGGAUUGGAUAUGCGGUUAGGGUGUUUUAGGCCGAUUUACGAUGCUUUCAUGUCCACCUCAAGCGGAAUGCUUAGUUCCUAGGGGAUUCGGUACGCAGUUAGAGUAUUUCAUAUAUGUGCAUUUGAUUAGCAUGACUCGAUUAGAUUGUACACAUAACAAAUUUGUGGCAGACAAUGUGUAUGUCAAUUUGGAUUGUACAUGCACAUUGCUAGAUUGUGCAUUGCUUUGUCUUAGAUCAUGCCAAUGUGCAUGUCAAUGGUUAUGCUAGAUUGUGCACUGCUUUGUCUUAGAUCUCGCUAAUGUGCAUGUCAAUGGUUAUCCUCACUGCUUUGUCUUAUAUCUCGCCAAUGUGCAAUGCCCAUGCUUAUGCUUCAAUUUUGAAUUGUCGAUGUCUUUGCAUGUCCAUGAUUGUGCAAUGCCUUUGCGUUAGAUCAUGCCAAUGUGCGAUGUCCAUGCUUAAUCUUAUUCUGAACUACCGAUGUCUUUGCACGUCCAUAGUUGUGCAAUGCCUUUUUUGUUAGAUCGUGUCAACGUGCAAUGUCCAUGCUUAUGAUUCGCUUUUGUGCAACCUAUGUAUUUGCAUGUCCAUGAUUAUGCAAUGACUUUUGUGUUAGAUCAUGCCAAUACACAAUGUCCAGGAUUAUGCUUCACUUAUGCACUUCCUAUGUCUUUGCAUGUCAAUGAUUUCUCCUUGAGUUGUGCACUUCCUUGAUUUAUUGUGCAAUGAUAAUCACCAAUGUAUGCUUAAUAGACAAGGUGAUGAAGACCAAGUGACACGUCAUGGGAGGGGGUGGCUGCCAUUCAUCGCCUGGCUUCCAGGAUGUGCUCCGCUCAACCCAUGGGCAUUAAGCCUAAAUUGCCGGGGAGGAGGGAGGCGGCGGUAUCGCCUCUGUGCCAUCAUGUCCACUGACCCAAUCUAGGCCACAUGCCGAGAGAACGGUACAUGUCGGUUCUAUGUCCAUAUGGAUAUGGACAACAUGGCCAUGUUUGUCGUCUUGAUGGCUUUCCAAAAGCCCCUCAAGAACUGGCUCGAGAUACGCCUUCCCAUUGCAUAUCAGUGGCCUCCUGCCGGUGGUGUGAGGAAUGGGUGCAGGUGUCCGAGUUUGGUGACCAGGUGUUGUUGUUUCGAAACUAGAGUGAGUGCUGGCAGAAGCACCACGUGAAGUAGGAGGAAGUCAUCGUCUUUAAGCUGACGGGCGGGGGCUUCAAGGUAAAUAUCUAUGGCAAUGUCACAUCCACUACUAAGCCCUAUGCUUGGCAUACCUGGGGCUAUGCGGCCAGAAUUGCUUCCACGCUAUCUAAAUAGUAGUGUAAGUAGUGUUUGUUGUUGAAAUGUAUAUAUUUUGUCUAGAGGACAAAAGCUCUCAUGUUAUGUUGCGCAUGUGAUGCCCUUGUUGUCUUAAAACAUGUUACCUUCCCUAAUUAAUAUCCUGAUAUUACAGAGCUAAGUGUUUAAGUCAGUUGCCCCAAUUACUCUGAGUAUGUUGCCUUCAAAUCAUGCAAUUUUGUUCUAAUCGUGUUAUUUUAGUAUGUAGUGUCAUGUUUAGGAUGAUGUGUAGCAUUGGCAUGGUAAGCUUACCAAAUUUGAAGGGGUGGAUAUAACGCCUCAUUGCACAUAAAAACACCCAUGAAAAUGGAGCCGGGGGCUAUAGGUUCACUAGAGGCAUCUCUCUCAUAAGGAUAGGAUCGGUGGGUAAACAAAUUACUGUUGGACAAUUGACAGAAUUGCACAUAAUUAUGAUUGUAAUUCUUCAUGGCAUAAUUCAUAUAUAGGCAUGACGUUCAUGACAAGUAGACCGUUAAACUUACUAACACCUACUACUAUUACUCCACCUCAUGACUGUUAUCCAGCAUGCAUCUAAAAGUAUUAAGUUCAUACAAACGGAGUAACGGAUUAAGCAAGAUGACAUAAUGCAGACAAAGUAAGACCAAGCAAUAUGUUCAAACCCUGUUGUUUUAUCCUUAGUAGUAACAAUACAAUACGUGCCUUGCCCUUUCUGUCACUGGGUAAGACUAGCCGCAAGAUUGAAUCCACUCCCUCUGAAGAUCUACUCAUCCAAUUGACCAAAGAAGACUCAUAGAUCAAAAAGCAUACAUAGCUAUAAAAUCACACAUAAAUUAAAUCUCACAAGGCUCAAAUAUUUUCAAUGAAUAGUCUAAUCAUAAACCCACAAAUUCAUCAGAUCACAACAAACACACCGAAAGAAUUACAUCGAAUAGAUCUCAAAGAAGAUAAUUGCAUUGGAGAUCAAAAGAGACAGACAAAGCCAUCUAGCUACUUCUAUGGACCCGUAGGUCUUGUAGGAAAUGCUCACACAUCAGCAUGGAGGUAGAAAGGGCGAUGAAGAUAGCCUCCCCAAUGGUUCCCCCCUUCGGCGGAGUACCAAAAAAGGCCUCCAGAUGGGAUCGCGGAAGAACAGAGCCUUGAGCCAGCGGAAAAAUUGUUUCGGGCCUCGCUCCAUCUUUUUUGGAAUAUUAGGGAAUUAUAGCCCAGGAAUUAGGUCCAACGGAGCCUCACAGGCCCCACAAGUGCUGAUGGGACGCCCCUCCUACAAGGCGCACCGUGUGAUCUCGUCGCCCCCUCGUAUAUCUCCUGGUCUCUCCUCGAAGCUUCUAGUGUCUCUCAUAGUCCAGAAAAAAUCAACGUAAAGUUUCAUCAUGUUUUGACUUUGUUUGGUUUGGUUUUUCUGUGAAACAAAGAAAAUGGGUAAAAACAGAAAGUGACACUGCGCACUAAGUUAAUAGGCUAGUCCAUAAAAAUAAUAUAAAAUAUCCUAUAUAAAGCAUGCAAAAAUGAUAAUAUAAUAACAUGAAACAAUAAAAAAUUAUAGAUGUGUUGAAGACAUAUCUGUAAUCAUGUGAAAUUGGUUUUUGUUCAAUGUUUCGAUCAUGUGUUAUGUUGUUCUUCCUCUAGUGGUGUCGUGUGAACGUCGACUGCAUGACACUUCGCCAUGUUUGGGCCUAGGGGAAAUCAUUGUGGGAUUGUAGAUGAUGGCUUGAGGGAAUGCAGAAAGCUAUACCCUAAUUUAUGAGCCGUUUCGUAAGGGACUGGAUUAUGUUUCAUACUACGGUUAGAUUUAUCUUAAUUCUUCUCUUGUAGUUGUGGAUGCUUGCAAGAGGAGGGGUAAUCAUAAGUAGGUUAUUUGUUCAAGUAAGAACAACACACUAGCUCCACACAUGACAACUUAUCAAAGCAAUGAAUGCGAGUCAAUGAAUCAUGGUGAAAGUAACUAAAUGAAACUCAUGAGUGUCCUCGAGAACGUUUUAAUCACUAUAAGAAUUACUUUUGGCUUGUCCAUAGCAAUAUCUGUCAAAAUUGCCUUACCGCACCUGCAGAGAAUAUAAUCUGAAAAGCACUUAUCAAUUC